AUGCAGCCUCCCAAGGCAAGACUCUUCUUGACAUGCAAGGUCCCCAGCAAUGACUGUAACCAACAACAAAUGACAGCAUCCCAAGAGAAGUGCCUUUCACCUUCUGCCAUGGUUCUGAGGCCUCCGCAGCCAUGUGGAACUGAAAUGCAACACUAUGGACAGAAAGAAAUAGUCAAGAAUGUUAAGAAAUGCAUCUUCGCUCUGACCUGUGAGAACUGCAAUGACGUGUAUUAAAGUUUAAUCUGAAAUUUCUCUAACCCGCUACCUUACUUCCAAACUACAAACCAUGAUACAUAUCAUUCACCUUCUAAACAGUAAGAAAUCCACAUUUUGUUAAAAAAAAAAAAAAAGCACCUGUAACAUAUUUUAAAUUAAAAUCUAUUAAAAUUGUCUCCAUAUCAAUAUAAAACAUAACAAUAUUUGUGUGUGUCUGUGUGUACAUACAUAUACACAGUUUUGGGGAUCGAUCUCAUUUCAUCAAAUCAUUUAAAAUACUUCUCUGCUCUGUUAGUACAAAAAACAACUUUCUUCACUCAACAAUCUCUUCAUUUUUUCAAAUCAAUAUUUAUUUGAAGUUUACCUACUAUGUGCCAAGAAUUGUGUUAGGUACUGGCAAUGAGGAAGAAAGAUACAGUCCCCCAACUCCAGGGUUUGUAGGACGGUGUCAGAAUAGGCAAUGCACAAACGAACAAAUAUGAUUUACAAAUAGUUGUCGUAUCCUGUGAAGAAACAAAGUGCCAGGAAACACUGGAAAGGGAAGCUAGUCCAGCUAAGUCACUCAUGAAAGGCCCUUUGAGAACAUAAUGUUAACACAGAGAACUGUAUUGACAUGAACCAGCAAAGGAUACAAAAAGGAACAUUCCAAUAGUGACAGAAAAGAGCUCAGCAUCUUCAAACAUUCCAUUAGUCAGUAUGGCAAGAAGAGUGAGCAAAAGGAGAGAGUGGCAUGAGAUGAGUUAGGCAGGGGCCAGACCAGCCAGGACCUCCUGGGCCAAGAAAAGGUGCUUAGGUUUUACUCGAAGUACAAGGGAAGCCUAAUUGGGAAAGUGAGAGGGUGUAUAAUUUAUACUUUUAUAUCCAUUCUAGCUAUUGGAUGGAAAAUAGAUUGGAAAAGAUUGGGAUGGAGUGGGAGCUGUAGAGAUAGAGAAGAGUAGAAAGGAUUUAGAGAGGGAAAAGGAGAAGACAGGGAGAGAGGCUUUUCACAAAUAAAAUAACUUUUGUGCAAAAGUAUGUGAAUAAUUCAUGCUCAUCUGCGUGUUUAGGUAUCAAACAAAAAAAAUGAGGGGGUAAAACAAUAUUUCAAAUUCUAUCAGAUAGAAACAUUAC
rnacentral:lncRNA from 1 species